AACGCUAGCUACAGGCUUAACACAUGCAAGUCGCGGGGCAGCAUGUCGGUUGCUUGCAACCGAUGAUGGCGACCGGCGCACGGGUGAGUAACGCGUAUCCAACCUGCCCUUCACCACGGAAUAAUCCAGUGAAAAUUGGUCUAAUACCGUAUGAGGUCAUACGAUGGCAUCAGAAUAUGACGAAAGGUUUAGCGGUGAAGGAUGGGGAUGCGUCUGAUUAGCUUGUUGGUGAGGUAACGGCUCACCAAGGCGACGAUCAGUAGGGGUUCUGAGAGGAAGGUCCCCCACAUUGGAACUGAGACACGGUCCAAACUCCUACGGGAGGCAGCAGUGAGGAAUAUUGGUCAAUGGGCGAGAGCCUGAACCGGCCAAGUAGCGUGCAGGACGACGGCCCUAUGGGUUGUAAACUGCUUUUAUAUGGGGAUAAAGUGAGCUACGUGUAGUUUAUUGCAGGUACCAUAUGAAUAAGGACCGGCUAAUUCCGUGCCAGCAGCCGCGGUAAUACGGAAGGUCCAGGCGUUAUCCGGAUUUAUUGGGUUUAAAGGGAGCGUAGGCCGCCCCUUAAGCGUGUUGUGAAAUGCCGCGGCUCAACCGUGGCACUGCAGCGCGAACUGGGGGGCUUGAGUGCACGCAACGCAGGCGGAAUUCGUGGUGUAGCGGUGAAAUGCUUAGAUAUCACGAAGAACUCCGAUUG
rnacentral:rRNA from 1 species